rnacentral:rRNA from 1 species
UACGGAGGGUGCAAGCGUUGUUCGGAAUUACUGGGCGUAAAGCGCGCGCAGGCGGCUUGUUAAGUCAGAUGUGAAAGCCCAUGGCUCAACCAUGGACGUGCAUUUGAAACUGGCAAGCUUGAGUAGUGGAGGGGGUGGUGGAAUUCCCGGUGUAGAGGUGAAAUUCGUAGAUAUCGGGAGGAAUACCGGUGGCGAAGGCGACCACCUGGCCACAUACUGACGCUGAGGCGCGAAAGCGUGGGGAGCAAACAGG